UCAAUCUAAAGGGUGAUUUUUUUGCUGGUAUCUUUUUGGCAACACUGUUUUGGACAGAUCACGCGUGAAUCGUGUCUUGUGUCAUAGUCAAACUUGUUCAGUAUGGUCUAUAAUUUAACCAUGAAUCGACUUACGAACGAACAACGCUUGCAAAUGAUUAAAUUUUACUAUCAAAGACGACAAUGGCCGAAACGUUACUGUGAAUGGCGAGCGCUACCGUGUGAUGAUUGGCGAUUUUUUUUGCCCAAAAUGGAAGAAUUGGACAUGCCUGACAUGUUGUUUCAACAAGACGGUGCCACAUGCCACACGGCACGCGAAACAAUGGUCCAAUUGAGAGCCGCCUUCGGUGAACAGUUUAUCUCACGUUUUGGGCCCGUCAAUUGGCCGCCUAGAUCGUGUGAUCUAACGCCUUUGGACUAUUUCUUGUGGAGCCAUCAACGAUUGACGCACUGGGAGCCAAUAUUGAAGCAUUUAUUCGUAAAAUACCGGCUGAUAUGUUGGAGAGAGUGUGCCGAAAUUGGGCCUUGCGAAUGGGCCAUCUAAACCGGAGCCGCGGCCAGCAUUUGCAUGAAAUCAUCUUCAAACAUUAAAUUAUAUUGACCGUUCUAUCGAUUCCAAUAAAGAUUUCAUCAAAUUUUUCAAAUUUUUUGUGUUUUUUUUGAAAAUCAAA